GCAAAUGGCCGCCAAAUCCAGUUAAGAGGUGCUGUGUUUAAGUUAUGAUCGCAACAUCAAUGAUUUUGGUAUAUGAAGAAGAAAAUCGUUUAACCUCAAAUGCAUAUAGGAGGAGAGUUCCUGCAGCUACUAUACUUGAAGAAAUGAUGGUUUUGCAGACAAGAAUUUUCUCAAAUGAAAUCCUUCAGAAUACAUAGAAGGUUAAGGUGUAAAAUACCUAAGUGGAAAAUGGGUGAUAAAACAAUCUUCUGAGAUAUAAAGAGAGAGACUUCCUGUCCAAAGAAUGUGCUGCUCUUUUUGGAUUGAAAUACAGAUUCUAUUUUGUUUCUUUGAAUAAAUGACUAUGAAGUAUUUUUAUUAAUUAUCUCCCUUGAAUUUUUCUUUAAUCAAGAUGAAUUUGAUAUUGCAUUUGUUUGUGAUUUUCGGGGGGGGGAUUGGAGGAGGUAACACUAAUGUUCAAGAUAAGCAAAAUAUUGACAUAAAUGUUUUUUUUUUAAUUUAUAAAUUAAUAAAUAUGUGUGUUUGU
rnacentral:sRNA from 1 species